rnacentral:sRNA from 1 species
UAAACGUCUCAGAGGCUCUUUGAUAUGCA